AAGGUCGUGAGGACUUGUCUGGAGGAAGCCGGAGCGCAAAAGUGCGAGGCGACGGACAGAAACUGCAUAGAAGGCCUGGUCUGCGGGCGAGUUGGCACCCCAUGACGAAGCCCACCGGAUACGGCGGACAAGGCAAAUGCAGCGCUUGUGCACGGAAACAUCGCGUU
rfam:Candidatus Accumulibacter phosphatis clade IIA str. TW-1, complete genome.